AUUUUUAAAAAGGGUUUUAAAUGCCAAUAUAUAUAUGCUAAAAAUUAGAAAGUGAUCGAUCAAAUUUCUUUUAGGUACAAGCAAAGAAUAAUAAACAUGGAUGCGGUUCUCAAGUUUGUUUAUACUAUGAUCCUAUAUCUUUUCCUACUUCAUGUUAUAGCCGAAGAUUUCCCUUUUCACAAAUGUGAAAAGGAUGAAGACUGUCUAGAAAUUUGUGCUGACGAUCAAAUGGCAAUGUGCAUUUUGAAUGUUUGUUUUUGUUAUUAAACAACGGCUACGCAUAUUGCCUAUAUUAUGCAAGUGUUGUUAUUAGUGGUUUGUUGGUACAAGAUAUACGGAGAAUGAAAUGUCACUGCUUGUAUAAUUAUAAAUGAACUGCAACAAAUAAAUGUAAUGUGGUUAUGUAAAAUCAUUAUUACUAAAUGAUGACAAUGUAAUUAUAAUAUGUAUAAAGUUUUUUUUUACUCAA